CCUACGGGUGGCAGCAGUCGAGAAUCAUUCACAAUGGGGGAAACCCUGAUGGUGCGACGCCGCGUGGGGGAAUGAAGCUCUUCGGAUUUUAAACCCCUGUCAUGGGGGAGAAAGUUAAAAAGAUCGUACCACAAGAGGAUGAGGCUGCUAACCCUGUGCCAGCAGCCGCGGUAAUACAGAGGUCGCAAGCGUUCUUCGGAAUCACUGGGCGUAAAGCGUGCGUAGGCUGUUUCGUAAGUCGUGUGUGAAAGGCGCGGGCUCAACCCGCGGACGGCACAUGAUCCUGCGAGACUAGAGUAAUGGAGGGGGAAGCGGAAUUCUCGGUGUAGCAGUGAAAUGCGUAGAUAUCGAGAGGAACACUCGUGGCGAAGGCGGGUUCCUGGACAGUAACUGACGCUGAGGCACGAAGGCCAGGGGAGCGAAAGGGAUUAGAUACCCUAGUAGUC
rnacentral:rRNA from 1 species